AACGAACGCUGGCGGCAGGCUUAACACAUGCAAGUCGAGCGCCCCGCAAGGGGAGCGGCAGACGGGUGAGUAACGCGUGGGAACGUACCCUUUGCUACGGAAUAGCUCCGGGAAACUGGAAUUAAUACCGUAUGUGCCCUACGGGGGAAAGAUUUAUCGGCAAAGGAUCGGCCCGCGUUGGAUUAGCUAGUUGGUGGGGUAAUGGCCUACCAAGGCGACGAUCCAUAGCUGGUCUGACAGGAUGAUCAGCCAAAUUGGGACUGAGACACGGCCCAAACUCCUACGGGAGGCAGCAGUGGGGAAUAUUGGACAAGGGGGGCAAGCCAGAUCCAGCCAUGCCGCGUGAGUGAUGAAGGCCUUAGGGUUGUAAAGCUCUUUCACCGGAGAGGAUAAUGACGGUAUCCGGAGAAGAAGCCCCGGCUGACUUCGUGCCAGCCGCCGCCGUAAUAC
rnacentral:rRNA from 1 species